CUAGUCUAGUUAAUCCAUUGAGUUGCAUUGCACCGAUGUGCCCUGCUUUAUUAUUUUACUCUGUCUACUGCCAGACAAUUUACUUGUCAAGGGGAGAGCUCUGGCAUUUAAUAGGUACAGUAACUUAACUGGCCUAUCUGGCCAUAUGUCUAAUAAUCUAGUUAAUCCAUUCAGUUGCAUUGUGCCAAUGCGCCCUGCUUUAAGUAUUAUUUUACUCUGUCUAACGAUUUAGUCGUAUGACAUGUGGACAGUGACUGACUGAAACAGUACAGGCUUGACUGCAGUCACUGACAAGAAGAAAAUUCAGAUCUCACAAUGUAUAUUAAUUUUACUGUAUUAUAAACCAUAUAAUUUCUUUUAUUAGUCCAUGCUGACAGCAAAUGCCUUAACUGAGGUGGAUAGGCCCAAUAAUUUUUCGAAAUUAACUAAGAAUGCAAGAAAAAGAUUCAAUGUGAACUGGAGAAGCAGGAGAACUGUUAAGAGAACACAAACAUACAGUAUUUGUUUUAAUAUUUUAGUAAUGAUAUUAUAUGCAUUUCUUAAUUUUAAUCUUUGGUCUUGUCCCUGCAUGGUGUUACUGGUAACCCACCCCUGAUUUUUUAUUUCUGCAUGCUUUUAGUUGAGUAAUGCAUAUACAGGGUG